UAGGGAAUCUUCGGCAAUGGGGGCGAACCCUGACCGAGCAACGCCGCGUGAGUGAAGAAGGUUUUCGGAUCGUAAAGCUCUGUUGUAAGAGAAGAACGUGUGUGAGAGUGGAAAGUUCACACAGUGACGGUAACUUACCAGAAAGGGACGGCUAACUACGUGCAG
rnacentral:rRNA from 1 species